UUUGAAGUGUGUGUGUGUGUGUGUGUGUGUGUGUGUGUGUGUGUGUGUGUGUGUGUGUGUGUUUUCAAAGGAAGGAAUUCAAUACACACACACACACACACACACACACACACACACACACACACACACACAGACAAAGACGAUCAUGAGAGCAGAUUAGUCCCCGUCACACAAAG